GGGGAUGUAGCUCAAUUGGUAGAGCACUAUUCAAAUGCACGAUAGAGGCUUGGGGUUCGACUCCUCACAUCUCCA
rnacentral:tRNA from 1 species